rnacentral:rRNA from 1 species
UACGGGGGGGGGCAAGCGUUGUUCGGAAUUACUGGGCGUAAAGGCUCGUAGGUGGCCAACUAAGUCAGACGUGAAAUCCCCCAGGCUCAACUUGGGAACUGCGUCUGAUACUGGAUGGCUUGAAUUCGGGAGAGGGAUGCAGAAUUCCAGGUGUAGCGGUGAAAUGCGUAGAUAUCUGGAGGAAUACCGGUGGCGAGGACGGCGUCCUGGACCGAGAUUGACACUGAUGAGCGAAAGCUAGGGGAGCAAACGGG